rnacentral:rRNA from 1 species
AGAUCAAAUUGUUGGUUGUGCCCCGGUACGUACUGGCAUUAUUGAUUUCUCCCUUCUGAAGAACCACGAUGUCAUUAAUUUGGUGCCGUGGGGAAUCAGGACUGUUACUUUGAAAAAAUUAGAGUGUUUAAAGCAGGCUUACGCUUGAAUACAUUAGCAUGGAAUAAUGAAAUAGGACGUUUGAUUCUAUUUUGUUGGUUUCUAGGAUUGACGUA